rfam:Phlebotomus papatasi Contig6450.1, whole genome shotgun sequence.
ACUAAAAUGAUGAUAAAAAACAAAUGAUAAACUGAUUGUGGGAUUUUUCUCUAUUUUUGAGAAUUAUUUCGCAUUUUGCAUUUGAUGUCGUUCGAGGCAUUUGUCUGAUUAUGAU